rnacentral:rRNA from 1 species
AGUGAACGCUGGCGGUAGGCCUAACACAUGCAAGUCGAACGGCAGCACAGUAAGAGCUUGCUCUUACGGGUGGCGAGUGGCGGACGGGUGAGGAAUACAUCGGAAUCUACUUUUUCGUGGGGGAUAACGUAGGGAAACUUACGCUAAUACCGCAUACGACCUACGGGUGAAAGCAUGGGAUCUUCUGACCUUGCGCGAUUGAAUGAGCCGAUGUCGGAUUAGCUAGUUGGCGGGGUAAAGGCCCACCAAGGCGACGAUCCGUAGCUGGUCUGAGAGGAUGAUCAGCCACACUGGAACUGAGACACGGUCCAGACUCCUACGGGAGGCAGCAGUGGGGAAUAUUGGACAAUGGGCGCAAGCCUGAUCCAGCCAUACCGCGUGGGUGAAGAAGGCCUUCGGGUUGUAAAGCCCUUUUGUUGGGAAAGAAAAGCAGCAGGUUAAUACCCCGCUGCUCUGACGGUACCCAAAGAAUAAACACCGGCUAACUUCGUG